rnacentral:rRNA from 1 species
CCUACGGGACGCAGCAGUGGGGAAUAUUGCACAAUGGGGGAAACCCUGAUGCAGCGACGCCGCGUGAAGGAAGAAGUAUUUCGGUAUGUAAACUUCUAUCAGCAGGGGAGAAAAUGACGGUACCUGAUUAAGAAGCCCCGGCUAACUACGUGCCAGCAGCCGCGGUAAUACGUAGGGGGCAAGCGUUAUCCGGAUUUACUGGGUGUAAAGGGAGCGUAGGCGGUUUAGCAAGUCAGCAGUUAAAGACCGCGGCUCAACUCCGGGCGUGCUUUUGAA